AUGUCUGGGAAACUGCCUGAUGGAGGGGGAUAACUACUGGAAACGGUGGCUAAUACCGCAUAACGUCGCAAGACCAAAGAGGGGGACCUUCGGGCCUCUUGCCAUCAGAUGUGCCCAGAUGGGAUUAGCUUGUUGGUGAGGUAACGGCUCACCAAGGCGACGAUCCCUAGCUGGUCUGAGAGGAUGACCAGCCACACUGGAACUGAGACACGGUCCAGACUCCUACGGGAGGCAGCAGUGGGGAAUAUUGCACAAUGGGCGCAAGCCUGAUGCAGCCAUGCCGCGUGUAUGAAGAAGGCCUUCGGGUUGUAAAGUACUUUCAGCGGGGAGG
rnacentral:rRNA from 1 species